ensembl:lncRNA
CUUCACAGCAGAGGACGUUAACCCUGAAGAUACCUGAUGAGACAUGCUGUUGGUGUACGGAUGAAACACGAACCUUAAGGCGUUUAUAUUGUAAAGACCCUACAAUAAUACAGAGGAAACAGAAAACCCCAGCAGUCAUAUGAACCCCUAUAAGCAAAUGGUGACAAUGGGAAGAAAAAACCUCCAGCAGAACCAGCGACCAACUGGGGCUGCACGCUCACUGCAGGAUUCAUCUCAGAGCUCCAGGGUGAAAUUAAAAGAAGAAGACACGAGUUUGUCAGACAUCUGAAUGACUGUGUUUUAUGCUGCGGAGCUGGAGGAGCUUCGACCUCAGCUCGGGUUUGUUCAAAGACAUGAAAUCAUAAAAAAUGGAUCACAGGAUCAAAUGCUGAAUAAUCCUGUGACUGUCCCCGCUGCUGCGUGAAGAAAGGACGACUGUGUUUCAAUAUUAAUGUCUGUGUGUUGUUUGUCUGCGACAGCCGCUGAGCGACGGCGAAUCUGUCAGCAGCUGCGUCUCACCCUCGCGAGUUAUCUGCACGCUAAUGGGUUCAGUCAAC